rnacentral:rRNA from 1 species
AUACGUAGGGUGCAAGCGUUAAUCGGAAUUACUGGGCGUAAAGCGUGCGCAGGCGGUUUUGUAAGACAGAGGUGAAAUUCCCGGGCUCAACCUGGGAACUGCCUUUGUGACUGCAAGGCUAGAGGACGGAAGAGGGGGAUGGAAUUCAGGGGGUAGCAGUGAAAUGCGUAGAUAUGCGGAGGAACACCGAUGGCGAAGGCAAUCCCCUGGGCCUGUACUGACGCUCAUGCACGAAAGCGUGGGGAGCAAACAGGAUUAGAUACCCUGGUAGUCCACGCCCUAAACGAUGUCAACUGGUUGUUGGGUCUUCAUUGACUCAGUAACGAAGCUAACGCGUGAAGUUGACCGCCUGGGGAGUACGGCCGCAAGGUUGAAACUCAAAUGAAUUGACGGGG